UCUCUGCACAGCCUGUCGUAAGCCAGGAUAAAGGAGGAACGUUCGUUGUAGCCUUGGCAAGCCAACGGUAAAAUGUCUGAGAGUUGGUUACUGCUUGGCAGUUCAUACCAUCUAUUUGGAGAUGAUUGCAACCCUGGCAGUAUCAAGAGGUAGUUGCAGUAUUGGCUGUUCAUACUACCUAGUGAGGAGGUGAUUGCUGCUUUCCAGUUCAUAUCAUCUGAUCUUUUUCCUAUACCCCUACUAGGGUUUUGAGACUUUUGAUAAAUCUGUCUUCAUCAGUUUUGGCGAGUAAACUCAGGAUAGUCUUUUGGCAUCCGUUUCUGCAGCCAUGCUGGAGAUAGAUCUCUUUCUUUGUCUCACUCAACUGGGCCUAUUUGAAAAAGAUAUUAUGUUGGGCUUGACCUAGUAAUGUGAGUUGCCAGGCCCUCUCUAGCUAUGGAGAAUGGUACUUAGGCAGCCGCUUUGUGGUCAAGCACAUAUGUGCGAGGUUUUUCAUAUGGUCGGAAAAGAGUUGGUUACUGCUUGGCAGUUCAUAUCGACGGUAGUCAGAUUUCAAACAGUAGCUGGUUACUGCCCACCACCACUGUAGAUCAUCAUCGAAAAGGAGAGAAGUGGGAGUUUUUCUUUGAGGGUUUGUUGCCCCUCUCCUGAUAUCUCUCUGAUUUUUAAAAAUCAGCGCUGAUGUUUUUGAUCUUGAUAAAUCAAACAACCCUGCAACUACCACCACAUCUUCUCUCUAUCCAAGUUCACUAUAUGGCACAAGCUCAGCUUAACAUUGAGCCUUACUUUAUUUUUUAUUAGUUACCUCCUAAGUUCCUUGAUGCUCUUUCUUGUCGUUUUUCAGGUAGUUGUUGAUGAUGCUAGAGAGUUGAAUGCUUGCUUAGUACUGUCUAGGAGGUUGCAGCGUGCAUGGGUGAGCUAUUCAUGUCAAGGACGCAUCCAGAAAGGGAAGCCAUACUUAUCAAGACUGUCUGUAAUUUCUGUUUGUUUCGUGCAAUUAUGCUUCCUCUUCUAGUUAAAUCCACGCUGAAACGAUGGUAAUGAUACGAAGCAGUGAUGAUUCACAUAAAACAAAAUUCACACUAGGAUAAAUCUUUCUUCAUUAAUCAUGGCAUGGAAAACUCCUGGAUGUUCUUUUGAAAGUUGAAUACGUUUUAAAUUGUGAUUUUUUAUUCUUCUUUCAUUUGAGUGCUCGAUUUGCCGCCAUGUUAAUGGAGAUGGAUACCUAUCCCUGUGUGACUACGAUUUGUCACACUUCAACAUAUACUAUUUCGUUAGUAUCAUGGAUGAAGUAGAGAAAUGGAAAUGUUUUAACUCAAAUAAAAAACAAUUGUGAGUUUCACAAAAAAAUUGGAAUACAUGUGAUUUUAUUUGCAA